rnacentral:lncRNA from 1 species
UUAGCGACGAAGUUUGUGCUUCAGCAUGUAUCGUAAUCCUGAUUGUUGGAGAGCAGAGAAGUAUAUUUUAUAGAGAAGUAUUAUGGUAAAGUAAAUAAAAUACUUAGGCUUAGUUUGGUAUUGAGCUCUAUCUGACGCUGUUAAAUAAAAUAAAGUUAGGAAAAAAGCAUAUAGGAAUAUGCUUAUGCGUUCUCCGGGAAGACCGUAGAAAAUAUAUUAUAACGAACUCAUCGCAGUAUGCGGAACGCAAUAUUACGUACAGAAACAAACAUAGUAUUUUUACAUCGAACUUUCUCACCGCACGUAACGCAAUCGCCCCGCAAUCCCUAACGAAGCCUUAAUUAAUUAUCUUCG